rnacentral:rRNA from 1 species
GACGAACGCUGGCGGCGUGCUUAACACAUGCAAGUCGAACGGAAAGGCCCUGCUUUUGUGGGGUGCUCGAGUGGCGAACGGGUGAGUAACACGUGAGUAACCUGCCCUUGACUUUGGGAUAACUUCAGGAAACUGGGGCUAAUACCGGAUAGGAGCUCCUGCUGCAUGGUGGGGGUUGGAAAGUUUCGGCGGUUGGGGAUGGACUCGCGGCUUAUCAGCUUGUUGGUGGGGUAGUGGCUUACCAAGGCUUUGACGGGUAGCCGGCCUGAGAGGGUGACCGGCCACAUUGGGAUUGGGAUACGGCCCAGACUCCUACGGGAGGCAGCAGUGGGGAAUAUUGCACAAUGGGCGGAAGCCUGAUGCAGCAACGCCGCGUGCGGGAUGACGGCCUGCGGGUUGUAAACCGCUUUCGCCUGUGACGAAGCGUGAGUGACGGUAAUGGGUAAAGAAGCACCGGCUAACUACGUG